CACGUUGAAACACCAGUUCUCGUACGACCACGAAAGUUAAGCAACGUCAAGCCUUGUCCGUACCUUGAUAAGAGACCACUUGGGGAUACUAGGUGCUGUAA